GUGGGAAGAAAGACGGAACACAAAUGCCCCCAAAAAGAAAAUCAUAUUUUGCAGAUUACAAGCUGAAAGUAGUGAAAUUUGCAGCCGAAAACGGUAAGUUUGGAGUGAACGACAAACUUGUGAGGAACUGGCGAAAAGCGACGGAUACUGUAACUGCAAUGAAGACAACAAAAAAAGGUGAUUGCGGGCUAAAGGCGAGAUGACCACUACGAGACGAUAGAUGGUGUAUUUUAUGAAGUGUCCAGCGAGUGUGCGUCACCUUUUCAAGUCUAACAGGCAGACAGUCUUCAAGGUGAGGCUGAAGAGGAAGUCAGCGUCUCAAAAGCAGAGAGAUGACUUGGAAUGAGAUGAAAAUAAAAAGUCAAGGAGGAUUUGAGGAGCUUUGCAGCAUCUCACUUUGACCUUGACCACACCAAGUACAAUUGAUGCUGGCUGUUGCCCGGCAACAUGACCUCCCUCUAUGAAAUGAAGGAAGACCAACUUUCAAAGCAUUCUCUCAGACAGGGUGAUGGGGCAAAGGUCAGCCCAAUGAGCAUCUUUAAUCUCGCACACAUUAUGGUCAUCCUACGUGUGUGCGACCCCAAGGAGGCAGCCUGUCAAAAUCAAAGCCCCCCCAGACAUCCUUCCUUAUAAAGGCAGUGUAAUAUCAUUUUGUACAAAGAGGCUUUCAAAGAAGAAAAACGUGAUGGAGUGUCUCCUAAUUCCCACUGAGGUGUUUCAUGGAAAGACGAGAAGGCUUGGGAACGCCGAUGCUUCCACAGAGGCCAUCUGGAUCAUGCCGGGACGAUACCCUGGUGACUGUUGCCAUUUUACGCACCCGCUGGACAAAGAAAAGGCCUGCUGCGUUAUUAAAAGUGUAUGAAAUGUUUUAUGUUUUUCCACAACCACAUGAGGAAAGUUGCUCUCCUGCCGCAUUUUAAUAUGCUUAUUUAGCUCACAGGGGAUGCUUUUAUAAAAUACUUGUGUACGUGUGGACGCAGGCUUCAACAGAUGAGGGGAAAAAAAAGGCAUCAAAGGAGCGUCUCUGCAUCCUAUUUAAAGCACAGACGUCUGCUUGUUGUGGAAUUCCCUUCAUGUCAAAAGGAGCUCAUCAAUUCAACAUGAGACAACGUCCAGGACAGUUAAUCUCCCAAACACAAUGAAAAUUUCUGUAUCGCUAGCAUGCUAAUGAUGUUCAUCUUUAGCCAGCUGUUAAAAUAUACUAGAGGAGGAAAUAAUUAGCCAUGAUGCUAUCAUGUUUGACCACAGCUAGCUAGCUUCACUGGCCUUUCAUUACACAGCCUCACCAUAUCAGAUUAGAAUGACCCCAAAAAGUCGACAUGAGUUCAAUACAAGGCAUUUAGCCUUACAUGCUAAUAAUGAAAGUUGAUGGCAUUCACAAUGGAAACAUGAAGGCAGUGGAUAGCAAAUAAGACAACGCGUGUAAGCUAUCCCUCGUUUUCAUGUCCAGAUACAUCUAGACAUCUCAAAUAAGCCAUUUAAGACAGUUUACCCAGUAGGGGAGCAGAAUCGACAAAAGACAGGAAUUGACGCCAGGGGUUCACAGUUGAGUUUUAGCUUGUUGUCGGCUGUGGCUGCAACAGCAACCCGUGUUGCUGUUGUAUAUGUUAUUAUUGUGCCUGCUGUGUCAUUUAAAUCUACAAUAAAAGCUGG